rnacentral:rRNA from 1 species
UAGGGAAUCUUCGGCAAUGGGGGGAACCCUGACCGAGCAACGCCGCGUGAGUGAAGAAGGUUUUCGGAUCGUAAAGCUCUGUUGUUAAGGAAGAACGAGUGUGAGAAUGGAAAGUUCAUACUGUGACGGUAUCUAACCAGAAAGGGACGGCUAACUACGUGCCAGCAGCCGCGGUAAUACGUAGGUCCCGAGCGUUGUCCGGAUUUAUUGGGCGUAAAGCGAGCGCAGGCGGUUAGAAAAGUCUGAAGUGAAAGGCAGUGGCUCAACCAUUGUAGGCUUUGGAAACUGUUUAACUUGAGUGCAGAAGGGGAGAGUGGAAUUCCAUGUGUAGCGGUGAAAUGCGUAGAUAUAUGGAGGAACACCGGUGGCGAAAGCGGCUCUCUGGUCUGUAACUGACGCUGAGGCUCGAAAGCGUGGGGAGCGAACAGG